AAAGCUUUCUUGUUUUAGACAGAACAGAUCCUGAUUAAAGAAAGGAAGAUGCAGAGUGCCCUGCACUGAAUUUGUCACCAGCCAGCAGAGGGAGUGUCUGAAGCUUCAGUGCAGGUCAGAGGCUGUAAAACUUGAAGAAAGGAGCCAAGAUCGCCAGAAAUACAGUGGUGGUAUUAUAGCAAACAUGAGAUCCUAAGUCCUUUUUCAAAGCGUGCCUGCUCCCUGCAAGAGGAGGAACAGUGGCCAACCCACUCAAUCAGCUGUUGCCAUGUGGGACCUGUGAAACCUAGCUACCAUGCAAAAAGUCUGACUGACUCGAGAUUACCAUAUUGUGAGGAAGUCCAAGCUAACCACAGGGAGGGGAACUGAGAAACCUAAACAACAGUGAAAACUGAAGUCCGAGAUAGAUGGCCCAAGCUGAGCCAUCAUGGGUGACACUACCAGGGGCCAAGACAGGUUCUCUCUAACAAGCCUGUCCAAGUCACAAAGCGAGGCCACCUUGGUAGGAGAAAGUAAGAAGAUAUGACCAGUUAUCUCCUCCAUCAGACAAAGGCACUAUUGAUUGUUCAGGAAAUUAAGUGGCCCCCUUUGCACCACAGUGCAAAAAAUGUACUCUUCUUUGGUGAAUCUUUAUUAUGUUGAUUGUUAAAGUGAUAUCUGUACAUAUUAAAUGUGUUAUGGCCUUAAGUGUUACAAUCCUUGCUCUGUGUAUAUUUACAUUUAUAUGUGUAUCAAUAUUCUCAAGCAGGAACACAGCACUGCCCUUCCAGCUCCCUCCCCCAGCUAGAGGACAUCUGGCAAUUUGACAUUUUGGUUGUCACAAUCUAGGGGACAGGGCUACUACUAGCAUCUACAGGGUAGAGCCAGUGGUACUGCUAAAUAUCUUAUAAUCCAUAGUACUGCUCCUGCAAUGAAGAAUUAUCUGGCUUAUGAUGUCAAUAAAAAUAAUAAUUUUCAUCAGAAAAGAGUUGUAUCAUUUUCAAAACACUUUCACAUGCAUUAUUUUAUUGAUGCUCAUAAAGUCAUUGUGAGGUAAUAAGCUUUCUAAUUUAUGGAUGAGGAAAUUGAGGUUUAAAAGGGAAAAGUGACUUUACCAAUGUCAUAUUACUAGAAAAGUGAAGGUGUUAGAGCACGAAAAUUAAUCUUCAGCCCUCUCUUACUUUCCAUACUUUUUCCUGGCAAUGUCCUGUGGGCAAAGAUAAAUGUGCCAGUCUCCUUCACUUCAAGCCCAGCAUGGUACUUUCCACUUGCUAGAGCUUCAAAAAUGUGUUUGUUGAUUGACUAAUUAUAAAUGACAUCAAGGACAGUCAACUGUAUUAUUCCCCCCUAGUUUUUAAAUAAGAAAUGUCAACUGAUAUGGUUUGACUCUGUCCCCACUCAGAUCUCAUCUUGAGUUGUAGCUCCCACAAUUCCCACAUGUGGCUGGUGAUAGCUGGUGGGAGGUAAUUGAAUCAUGGGGGCAGGCCUUUCCCAUGCUGCUCUCGUGAUAGCGAAUAAGUCCAUGAGCUCUGAUGGUUUUAUCAAGGGGAAACCCCUUUCACUUGGCUCCUACUCUCUCUUGUCUGCCACCACGUAAGACAUGCCUUUGCUUCCCCUUUGCCUUCAGCCAUGAUUGUGAGGCCUGCCCAGCCAUGUGAAACUGUGAGUCAAUUUAACCUCUUCCAUUUAGAAAUUACGCAGUCUCAGGUAAGUCUUUAGUAGCAAUGUGAGAACAGACUAAUAUAACAACUCAGAUCCCUAGGAAAGAUUUCUGUGUAAUUCAACAUACAUUUCCUGUUUUACAUGAAUAGAUGGCUGUAGCAUGUCUGGUUGUUUUUUUUUUUGUUUGUUUGUUGUUUUGUUUUUUUUUUUUUUAAUUUUGCUCUGGUGUAAAUCUUAGAGUAGUUCAAAAUGUAAAACCCCAAAACUUUUAGCUAGCAACAGGAUGUAGCCAUUCCGUGGCUUCCUUUUAACUGAAUAUGCACAGGCAGAGGAGCCAAGAGAAGGAACCAGCUUUUCUGAGUGACAGCAUAUUUCAAAGACAGGUAAAGGACAAACUGGAACAGAACUGGGGGUAAUACAUUGAAAACAAAACAAAACACAACAAGAAACAGUAACACGCAUGGAUCUCUGCCCAGAUUCCCACCCAAAAACUAAUUUAUUAAGCUGAUAUAAUAACACUGUGCAACAAUAGCCAGGCUAGCUUAGCUUUAUAUUUAGCUCAAGAAGCAAUUAAAGACAAAAAGAAAAAGAACACUCAUACUGUACAUGAUGAACAAAUCACAAGAUGUUCAACACAUUUGUUUAGCAGACAGUA
rnacentral:lncRNA from 10 species